CACACUGCACCCAGAAAUCUGCUUUCUCUCCUGAGCUGUCAGAUUGAGGAGGAGGGCAGGGUGUGCUGGGGCUGCCUGAAGAAACCACAGUUUGGAAGAGCUGGGAUUUCAGUUGUUGAGACUAAUGCAUCGUGACACCUCGAUUACACGAAGUGUGGCUGGCUCCUCCUGCCCUCUCUCUUCUGGGUGAAAGCCUGUGAACCUGCCAGGUUCUGGAUCUGCCCCAUUUCAGCCAGGUUCUGGAUCUGCUCUCUUUCUGGGUGAAAGCCUGCUGCCUGGCCUGGAUCUGCCCCGUUUCGGCCGUCCCCCGCUGUCCCCUGCACCCGCGGCAGGGGGGACACAGGCCAGCCGUCCCCACGCUGCUGUCAGACCCCUCAGUGACACCUCGGAAGGGACGAGGCUUCUAUCUGUGCUGCUGUGUACCUGCUGUCCUCGACAAUGGUAAGGAACAAUAAGAAGCGGGGAGCUGCGGCGGCGCGCAGGCAGCAGCGCCGUGCCCCUGCCCCGGGCUGUGGCAGAACCUGGGAGAGCAGGACCCACAGCUGCAGGGAGAGCAAUGGAAUGUUCUGUGACCGAGGCUGCCUGGCCCCGGAUCUGCAAUGAUCAAAUCCUGGGCUCGUUUUGCAGGCUGCAGCUCCUGAGAAUGGGAAGCCAGCUAGAGCAGCAUCGCUCCAGCUGUGGAACUGGGAUGCUGCAACAGCAGCCUGCAGGAGGAGGACAGACACACUGGGCUCCUGAGGCACCGUGUUUUGAUGGACUUACUCUUCCACUUGUGAGACAAUGGACUGAGGAGCCAGUGGCACUGCUGCUGCAUGGAUCUGGUGGCAAUGCUGUGUCUGCUGCCAGCACCACGAGAACACGUGUGGCCGUGUCCUGCUGGUGCAGGUGAUGGCUGUCACCCUGCAGCUCCUUGGCUGUGUCCAUCCCAGGCUCAGGACCAGCCGCAGCGUGUGCGAGGAGCCUGACUGAAGCCCCGGCAGCUUUGCCCAGCAGCACACAGGCUCCUCGCUGGGCAGUGAGCCUGUGCCCUGCAGCCACCCCCUGCAGCCUGCUCGGGAUGACAUUCAGUGGUGCCAGGUUGUCACUCUAGGACACGG